GAAUUCAGAGAAUAUCCAUUAGGAGAAAUAAAGAAACAACAGAAUGAAAUUCGUCGUAUUGUCCGCUUGUUUGUUGGUGGGUCUGGCUAUUAGAGCCGAUGGAUGUAGUCAAAUAGGAUUACAGAAUUGUCAAACAACUUUCGAGAAUGCUGUUGCAUCCCAAUCCAACCCAGACUUUUGCCAGUUGGCGUCCGACUGGGAGGCUUGUAUACAACCAUACGCAGCGGAAUGCAGUAACGCAAACUCGUGGAGCGCGGCAAAUGCAUUGAUAGCCGAAGCAAAGACGGCAUGCGCAAAGUAGACUCGGAACAUCAGGUAUACUUAUUAUCCAUAAGGACGUCCAGAUUUUCCUUGGUGACACGCAGACAUAAACCUUUCACAUUAAAUGGCACUGCUUUAUCGAAAAUAAACAUAUACACAACAUA